GAUGAACGCUAGCUACAGGCUUAACACAUGCAAGUCGAGGGGCAUCAGUUUGGUUUGCUUGCAAACCAAAGCUGGCGACCGGUGCACGGGUGAGUAACACGUAUCCAACCUGCCUCAUACUCGGGGAUAGCCUUCCGAAAGAAAGAUUAAUAUCCGAUAGCAUAUAUUUCCCGCAUGGGUUUUAUAUUAAAGAAAUUCGGUAUGAGAUGGGGGUGCGUUCCAUUAGUUUGUUGGCGGGGUAACGGCCCACCAAGACUACGAUGGAUAGGGGUUCUGAGAGGAAGGUCCCCCACAGUGGAACUGGGACACGGUCCAAACUCCUACGGGAGGCAGCAGUGAGGAAUAUUGGUCAAUGGACGCGAGUCUGAACCAGCCAAGUGGCGUGAAGGUUGACUGCCCUAUGGGUUGUAAACUUCUUUUAUAUGGGAAUAAAGUGGUCCACGUGUGGAUUUUUGUAUGUACCAUAUGAAUAAGGAUCGGCUAACUCCGUGCCAGCAGCCGCAGUAA
rnacentral:rRNA from 1 species